rnacentral:rRNA from 1 species
GACGAACGCUGGCGGGAGGCUUAACACAUGCAAGUCGAGGGCAGCAUAGGGUAGCAAUACUCUGAUGGCGACCGGCAAACGGGUGAGUAACGCGUAUGCAACCUACCCUGUACAGGGGGAUAACCCGGAGAAAUUCGGACUAAUAUCCCGUAAUAAUAUCCGGAGGCAUCUUUGGAUAUUUAAAGUUUCGACGGUACGGGAUGGGCAUGCGUAACAUUAGCUGGUUGGUAAGGUAACGGCUUACCAAGGCUAUGAUGUUUAGGGGUCCUGAGAGGGUGGUCCCCCACACUGGUACUGAGACACGGACCAGACUCCUACGGGAGGCAGCAGUGAGGAAUAUUGGUCAAUGGGCGCAAGCCUGAACCAGCCAUCCCGCGUGCAGGAAGACGGCCCUAUGGGUUGUAAACUGCUUUUCCAGGGAGAGAAACUUACGCACGUGUUGCGUGACUGACGGUACCCUGGGAAUAAGCAUCGGCUAACUCCGUGCCAGCAGCCGACGGUAAAAUCACGUGUA